rnacentral:rRNA from 1 species
GACAGAGGUGCCGAGCGUUAGGCGGAAUCACUGGGCUUAAAGCGUGUGUAGGCGGACUUCUAAGUACCUUGUGAAAUCCCACGGCUUAACCGUGGAACUUCUUGGUAUACUGGUUGUCUUGGGCCAUCUAGGGGCUACCGGAACAAACGGUGGAGCGGCGAAAUGCGUAGAUAUCGUUUGGAACGCCAAUGGUGAAAACAGGUAGCUGGGGAUGUGCCGACGCUGAGACACGAAAGCCAGGGGAGCGAACGGG